UGUUACACUGUACAAUGAACCCAAACAGUGAACACAGUAACUGCAGGAAGUCUGUGUACAAACGAGCGAUAUGAUGAAUUUUAAGCAGAUUGUUUCCUGUAAAUAUUACAGUUGUUUUAACGACACAGAAAUGAAGUUCCCCCCGGGUUGGGAACCACUGUUCAAACUGUGGGCACUAAUAAAGACCUCAUAUUAACGAGGCUGCAGCCCUUUAAUGAACCAGCAGAUGGAGACAGAGAGCAACCGGCUGUGACGGGUGGCGUAUUUAUAUUUGUUACAGGCUCGUGUUUACGCGGGUUCCCCGGCUGGUUGAAUCACCGCACAGUGCCAAUGAACAGCCAGCUGCUGGGACCGGGCUCCGGUAACCUACCUCUCCACCAGUACUUCUGAGAGAUGGACUCCCAGCUUCAGAGAACAGAGACAUAAAGAGGAUGAUACCACUGUGGGUAGUGGGGACUUUCCAGUACACAGGCAUGAAACCAGCCUCUUUAAAAGACGGUCCAUCCACCAACAUGUCUGUAGGGCGAGUACCAACAUCCUGGAAAGUUGGACUACCAGACCAGGAGCAAACUCAUUUCCAGAGUCCCAGCACCACUGCAGUCAUCUCAGUAAUUAUUGUGUCCAGAUAUGGUGACGGCAAAUGACCACACUGUCAGAACUCAACAGGAAGUCCCGUAACCUCGGUCCUCCAGGGCUCUGUUGUGGUGUGCUCAUAAUGCAGCUCGGACCCGUGAACUGGCAUUUUCCUGGGACGCAGUGAGACCUGGCAUCUUUAAUCUAAUCUGCAGCAGAGAGAAGUUGGCUGGUAGUGAUGGUAAAUCACUCAGUGGAGUAGAAAAUGUGGUAAGUGACACUGAUUGUGCUGAUGCUGUAUUGUUUUAUUGUUGUCUCCAAUGUUAUUCAAAUGACUCUGACAGAAAUUAUGGGUUAGAAGCUAUUUCACUGUAUUUCUUCCUAUGGCUCAGUAGUUUAGGAGCAUAUUUGAAAUUCAAAUCAAAACUGUGCGAUUAGCUUCAAAGGUGAACCCUGUCCAAGGUCAGUUUUCAUGCAUGUUAUUUAUUCGGUGAUACCACAUUUCAGCCCUAGCACGUCAGUAGUAGGUAAUGAAAACUAAUGCACCAUAUUUCUUCAUCGUUACAAACUGAGUGUCUUUGCUCCAAAUUAUCCACAAUUUCAGUUAAGCUUGUGUGAAAUGUAUCCAUUAUCGAAUCCUGCUGAUUCCAGUUCCAUUACAAAACAUACUUGGGUUGAUUCAUACACUUUUUUUCCAUUUCCAAACUGCACGCCCACACCGCAUAUUAAUUUCUUCACUGUUUGAAGAACUGGGUCAGUGAAUGCUUACAGACACUGGGUUAUGGAGCUGCAUGUCAACACAGCUACUACAGCAACAUACAGCAUGUGAAAUGGUUUUAGAUUUAGUUCUGAAUCAAAAGUCCUUUAAAAUAGCAUCAACUUGGCAACUGUUGAUUUUAAAGUGUGUUUAAAUAUGAGCAUUUAACAAGUAAACGCAAACAAAACUGAAAAUAAAUAGCUCAUUGGAAAUACAUUUAUUCACUUUCUUCCAAAUCGUUUGAAACUGCUCCCAUGCUAGUAAGCUGACUACGAAGCUGAAGACAGCAGACAGUUAGCAAGCUUAGCAUAAAGUCUUGGUUAGUAAGUUUAAAUUUUCAAGUUUUGUUUCCCAAAAGGGGUACGUGUAUAUUUCAAGAUAAUUAUAGUAUCCAAAUAGCACUACAUUGUUAGUAUCCUUCUGAACCGGUUUCAUAAACAUACUUGCUAUCAAUCCCAUAAUUAACACUCUGCAAAAGAGCUCAGUGAAAUACAGUAAAGAUCAAACUGGACUUGGACUGAAAUACUUUUGGCAUCUAAAAGUUCUGACCAUAUCAAUUAUGAACUAUAGCUAUGUUUUCCAUUAAAAGUAUUCAGUUAGAAAUGCACAUUUUAAUGUAUCAACCAGACAGAAAGCACACAAGUAAGGUUGUUGUCAUCUUUUACAAUUGCAAUAAUCUAUAAUAAUAAUAAUAAUAAUAAUGAUACACUCAAUCCAUAAUAAACACUGCAGUGAAUAAGUAUAGUGAAGCUGUGAUGCAGAAUUUAACCCUAUUGGUAAUACCUAUGAUUAAGCAGAGACCUCUAAAAAUCGUUUUUUGAAUGUUUUAAGAGGAUGAACUUUUGCUGUGGUCACUGUACGGAAAAUAAUAUAUGACGUCCAGUUUAUUGAUUUUGCCAUGUAACUCAGACAACUGCUCCCCCCAUUACCCUGCAGGGCAUACUCUCCACUGGCACGCUCUAUAGCAAACAUCCCCUCUGCCUCAGUCUGUCUGUAAUUGAAUAGUGAGAGUGCAAAUGCACUAAACACUGCUGACAAAUGGCAAUUUAUUCUUUUGUCCAUUAUGUUGUAAAUACUUUGUAUAAAUAAGUCAUACAUUUGAGUCAUACAAUUUGAACUAUGCUGUAAAAUUCAAAUGCCAAUCCAUAAUGUGUGUAAAGUUCUUAGUAACUGCUAGCUAGUUUCAAAGUAUGGAUUUACUAAAUGGUUGCACCAUUAAAACUUACAACAUGUCUUAGCUAGUAAAGGAUUUAGUAAUCAGGUGCUAUGAAACAUUGGUAAUGCCAUACAACUAAAAGCAAUAAACUGUUAACAGGAACUUACUUUAGCAUCACAAGCUGUAACAUAACUGUCAAAAUGAGUUCACUUAUAUCUGCGUACAUGGAGAGAUGUGUGUUUCACAGUGAUUUCAGAUUAUGCUAACCUAACUGAUGCUAGUUAAGUUAAAAUCUUCCCAGUUCAUGUUAUUAUUACACAUUUUAUUCUUCAGUCUUAAUGGGACAUAUAGCCAAGCUAAUGUCACUUGUCAGUUCAAACACAGUUACACCUGACAGUUGCUGUGUGUAAAUAUUUAGUAACAAAUAAUCUCUAAGUAAGAAUAGCUGGCUGUGUUUUAAUUUAGUGAUGCAUUAAUCCCCACUUAGUAAGCACUUACUUUAACUAGGCUAGGCUAAAAUUUAAUUUACGAACAGCUUGUGCAACUGACACCUAGUGUGCUGGAAACUGAGUCAAAGAGCUAUAAGCAGUCAAAAAUAAUGAAACUGAACAUCCUCACACACAUUUGUGCUUUUAUUUGAUUUAAAUCUGGCUGCAGUUAAUGUUGGAGUGUGUUAAACAUUGGCAUCUUUUACACUUUCUUUCUGUCACAGUUUACAUUAGCAGCAACUUUGUUAAGAAGUCUCUGACAUUAUGUAGUAGUAUGUUUUGACCUCUACAAUAAAUAUCUGAUAUGGACAGUCAAUUACCAUACAGUGUUCAGCUGGGAGCAGUUCUGUGGGAUAUUACUGGAAUCUCCAGUGUCCUGUUGAUCAUUUUGUGCACAGUGUGAUCGCAUGGUAAGGCAUGCUUAUUCACCUGUGACACAGCAUAAAGGGGAGGGCUGCACACAGGGAGAGGGCUGCCCCACUAAUGUAAAGGUCAAACUAUAUGGCCUCAGAGGAUCCACAUGUUGUUCAGGAAGUUAGGGAGGAAAGGAUGUGCAGGCCCCUCCUUAAAUACUCCUUAAAAAUGAGAAGUUCACGUCAACUUUUCCGGGCGUUACCAAGACCACAAGGUGUGUCAUUUGAAGAGUAAGAAAGACAUGUUUGUAUGUGAAUACAGCACAGGAACAGUCAACCCUGGUUAAUGAGUACAAAACACACUGGCAAGAGGACAUUCAAAUCAUACUUGGAAUUUCUCUCCCUUCACAAGUCUAUUAAUGUAACCAUUAAAUGUCUUUUGUAAAAAGUAAUUCACUCACCUCAUAUCUGAGAGAAGAUUGUGGAAAAUAUUUGAGGAAAUAAGGAUUAUUGUGACAUUGAAAUCAGUAUUGGUCAUAUUAAGAAGUUGUCUUAUCUUUAUGGCUUAGCAUGAACUGAUAAGUCUUCUCUUAUCUUGAAAGACAGUUGCAAUUGUGCACAGUCUGUCAACACCAAAGUAGAAAUGUGAAGUACAGCCAGUGAAACACUCCCGCGCACUGCACUGACAACAUUCUCAAACGAUUUAUGGUCAUCAUCUUGUGCACCUGCCUUAAUGCUUUAACAGAAAGCUAUCAUUUUCAGUCAGGUGUCUUUCAAAGUGCAGACAGUGUUGUUAACUGCGUUGCCACAGCUCAGAUUCACUGCUGUUCCAUCCUAAAAACCAUAGCUCAACCUGACUUUCACACCUUACAUUCUGGGGAACUGAAUUCCUGUCUGUCUCUUUUCUUCAAAGUAAUGUAGCAAAGUCAAGAAAUUGUAGACGAGAGCAGAGGAGGAGAGGAUGACGUAAAUCUACUUGUAAGUAAUGGAAGAUUUAGAAAUGGAUCAAAUAUCUUUGAUCUUUGAAUAUGACUACUAUAGCUGGCAAAGGUCAUUCUUACUUUUGCUACUAGAAGAAAUACAUUAUUACAGUGGACAAAUGAUAAGAGCCCUUCUGUUAAUGGCUGGUGUAGUAAGUUAUAUUUGAGCUGGUUCCUUUGGAAUACCCUACAAGUAUUCUGCACACCAAAGUACAGCAGUGUUAUUUUAAUCUUUUAUCUUAGACCUGAUGUUUCUUCCAUUAUUUUAGAGGGUGUUUACUGAACCUCAACUCUUGUAAUCUGUGAUUUACCUGCAACAUAUUUGUGUUUGUUUAUGUAAUUGUUUCUUAUGUUUGUGUUAUUAUGGUGGAAAAAUAAGAAAAUCCAAUAAAUAUAUUGUUUUA